rnacentral:tRNA from 1 species
GGCUUUAUAGUCAAAUUAUGAUAUUAAAUUGCAAGUUUAAAGUUAUGGAUAAUUCCUUUAAAGCUU